UGAACCCUCUGUAAGAGGGCCUCGCUCCAA
rnacentral:sRNA from 1 species